UGGGGAAUAUUGGACAAUGGGCGAAAGCCUGAUCCAGCCAUGCCGCGUGUGUGAAGAAGGUCUUCGGAUUGUAAAGCACUUUAAGUUGGGAGGAAGGGCAUUAACCUAAUACGUUAGUGUUUUGACGUUACCGACAGAAUAAGCACCGGCUAACUCUGUGCCAGCAGCCGCGGUAAUACAGAGGGUGCAAGCGUAAUCGGGAUUACUGGGCGUAAAGCGCGCGUAGGUGGUUUGUUAAGUUGGAUGUGAAAUCCCCGGGCUCAACCUGGGAACUGCAUUCAAAACUGACUGACUAGAGUAUGGUAGAGGGUGGUGGAAUUUCCUGUGUAGCGGUGAAAUGCGUAGAUAUAGGAAGGAACACCAGUGGCGAAGGCGACCACCUGGACUAAUACUGACACUGAGGUGCGAAAGCGUGGGGAGCAAACA
rnacentral:rRNA from 1 species